UAAGACAGAGGUGCCGAGCGUUAGGCGGAAUCACUGGGCUUAAAGCGUGUGUAGGCGGACUUCUAAGUACCUUGUGAAAUCCCACGGCUCAACCGUGGAACUGCUUGGUAUACUGGUUGUCUUGAGCCACCUAGGGGCAAGCGGAACAAACGGUGGAGCGGUGAAAUGCGUAGAUAUCGUUUGGAACGCCGAUGGUGAAAACAGCUUGCUGGGGGUGUGCUGACGCUGAGACACGAAAGCCAGGGGAGCAAACGGGAUUAGAUACCCCGGUAGUCCUGGCCGUAAACGAUGUCCACUAGAUCGUGGCGCCUCUGACGGCGUCACGGUCGAAGCAAAAGUGCUAAGUGGACCGCCUGGGAAGUACGGUCGCAAGGCUA
rnacentral:rRNA from 1 species